UGAGGGAAUAUUGGGUCAAUGGGGCGCAAGCCUGAACCAGCCAAGUAGCGUGAGGGAAGACUGCCCUACGGGUUGUAAACCUCUUUUGUUUGGGAAUAAAGUGCGGGACGUGUCCCGCAUUGCAUGUACCAUUUGAAUAAGGACCGGCUAAUUCCGUGCCAGCAGCCGCGGUAAUACGGAAGGUCCGGGCGUUAUCCGGAUUUAUUGGGUUUAAAGGGAGCGCAGGCCGUGGGUUAAGCGUGUCGUGAAAUUCCGUCGCUCAACGGCGGACGUGCGGCGCGAACUGGUCCACUUGAGUACGCGGGACGUUGGCGGAAUUCGUGGU
rnacentral:rRNA from 1 species